AUUCAGAUUCCUUCUGAGAUGCCACACGGUGACAAGAGGGAUGCUGCUACUCCGGGACCCUCAUCUUCUCAGCUUCAAGCCAAGUGGUAAGAGGAAUAGUGUCUUGCCGAGGAGACCAGUAAAACCUUCAGUGUUUCUCUUUAUCUUUGCCUGGAGCCCAUGGCCAAACUUUGACCUGUCACCAUGGCCAGUGUAAUGUUCUGCUUUGAAUGGCCAGGCUAGUCCCACUCCAGACUCUUAGCGCGGGCCAGAGCAAGAUUAUAGAUGGAGACCUAUAUACCAUAUGUUGAAAUAUUUUAAUGGUAUAAACCAAAUUAUCUGCUAAGUAAAAUAUGUUCUGUUCUCUUACCUUGGCAAUAUAUCAUCAUAAUAACAUUUUGCAUUUAGAAUUCCCAGACUAUUUGGGGUCUUUCUCUGGAAUGCAGCAUCACAGAGGAAGGUAGCACAAAGCGUGACUCAUUCUCUUUCCUUCCCUGGCUCUACUCUAUAGCAGGAGGGGCCUCACAUGCACAUAUGUCGACACCCCUGCCUGUACAACCAUGUUUGGUCCACACAACCACAAAAAACCACCUCUUACCCACUCCUGAGCCAAGUGUAAGCAUAAGCAUGCUAGCUGAAGGAUCUGCCUUCAGAAGGGGGAAGAGACUACCACAUUGCUUGUAAGGAGUGAGGAUGUUUAGGUAGGUAAUUUUGGAAGCCUAGAAACCUAGAUCUAGAACAUUUACUAUAACAGGAAGUAGGGGCUCCAGUUGGGCACAGCAGCUUGGCCCAGUGCGCGCUCUACACCAUGGAGACGAAUAUGAUGGAAGAAGGGCAAAGCAAGGCCCUCUGGGCACAGGGUGCAGGGCAGGACCUUCUUGCCCAGAUCCAACGGCAGUACUGAACAAAGUGCAAGCUGCUCCUCCUCCCCUGUAGCCAGGGGUGGAAUCAAUGCCAUCAGAAGCACAGGGCCUGAGAGUCUAUGAAUGUGGAUGUAGGAGUCCAAUAUCUCAGAAAAAUAUUGAAAGCAGUUUUUGGAAGUAAGGUAAAUGGAUACUGAGUGGCUAAGAAGCAGCAAAUAUUAACAUUUGACAUCCAAUAUGCUUUAAAAUUAGAAUUUUUAAAAAAAUCUCUUCUGCACGAUCUGGGCAGGGCUCUCUCCAUUCUCCCCCAUGGGUCCCUUCCCCUCCAGUUUAUGUGAUUUCUUUUACUUCAUUGAACUUUUUUCUCUCUCUCUCUCUGUUCUUUUCUUGUGUUAGCUUUCUUUCACCGCUCUGUCUUCACAAUGGCUUUUCCCUCUUUCAAGCUCACUUGUGUCUCUUUUUCCCUUUUCCUUUAUUUAAAUAAACAUUAAUCAUCCUUUAACUUUUAACAGAAAAAGUAGUUAUUUUUAGGAUGCCUUUUAUGACUCACCAAGACAGGGUUAGGUCCCCUGGAUUUGCAAUCUCACAAGAGGCUGUAGCGUCAUUGAAAGUCAAAGCAUUUGUACAAAGAUGUAUUCUGGCAAAUUCGAAUUCCAUGGACCAUCAUCUUUCACUCUCAUCACAACUUUAUGAAGUGCUUGGUAUUAUCACUGUUUGGAAGAUGAAGACAUGGAGUCCUCAAGGCUUCGGGGAUUUGUCCUAGGCUACAGUGGGUAGCAAUGGUAGGUGCCAAUUUUCUGAUCCUAAGUACCCUGAGCUUCUGCUUAUUCUUUGCAGGUCGGCUGUGCUGGGGCCUUUAUGAGAGUAGAUAAAUCACAUGCUGAUGGUUUCAAUAAUUCCAAACACUUCAUUCUGAAAAUCCACACAGGAGCUAGCUCAAGCUGCCAAGAAAACAUUCAAUUAGUGUUCCGUUUGAGGUUGCUUUUUGCUGCACUACCUCAGUCCCUGAAUAUUCUCUCUUUGGUUUAUCAACUGAAAUUCAGCGGACUCUCUGGGGCUCACUAGAACACGGUAAUAAUUAGUCCAAGAAUG
rnacentral:lncRNA from 1 species